UUUGAAUGUGAUGAUAGACUCAAACAUCUUAUCAGAGGCUCAAAUUUGUGCUCUGCUGAUUGUUUUGCACGUCAGUCUGAUCAAU